GAAGGCCAUUGCCAUGGUAAAGGAAUCCUUCUAUUGGGCCAAUUUGAAACCAGAAACCUGUAUGUAUGUGAAAAAUUGCAUUGUCUGUUAAAGAUUCAAGGAUACCGCAGGAUUACAGCAAAAAUGGCAAGAGACACCUCCCACGCACAAACCACUUGAGAGGGUAGGAAUAGAUCUUACUGACAUGGUGGCAGAAACUCAGGUUCUCGGAUAUGUCCUCACCAUAAUCGACCACUAUAGGUGUUUUGUUACAUUUGUACCACUUAAAAACAAAUGCACUCAACUAAUCAUUAACGCAUUGGAGAGCUAUGUGGAAGAUUUCGGAGUACCGCAGUCCCUGGUCUCCAACAAUGGAAGGGAGUUCCUGUCUUACUAGUACCAAGACUUACUGGCCCGGCAUCACAUCACAGUGCACUACACGACACCGUACAACCCGGGAGGUGGCAGCACCGCACAGAGGACCUAUUGCCCUCUGGGCACAAUCCUGGCUGCUCUCUGUGCUGGGUAUCCGCUCAGAAGGGCUGCGGAAAAGGCCAAACCUUGUGAAGAACUGGAAGAGUGGCUGCUGGCCCCUCCUGAAGUGUGAUGUGAUAAUGGGCUGAAAAUGAAUCUCCACCACCCCAGAUGAGAUGUCCUCUUUAACGCCUCAGAGGAGUGCUAAUGUGUGCAACAUAAAAAUGUCUGUUCCAAAAGACGCCUAUAGUACUUAGAAUUAAGUUAUAUUUUGUGUGAGUAUGUCAGAAAAGUGAGAGAACAUCCAAGGGUAGGGCGUAUGAAGUGUAUUUAUUGUUCGGUCGAGUGGAUCCAGUCAGUUGCUGUCCGCUGUAACUCUCCUAGGCCUAAUUUGAGCCCUGAAGGACUUGAAGGGGGAACCCCGAGGGGAACCACUCUAGGAAGAGGGUGGACAGGCCCUACAUACUCAGUCACAUCUUAAUGGGAAACCAUUUCCUCACAAGAGGUAUGGACAGGCACCCCUGGACAAUCCACUGGCUGUGAGGGUUGGAGGGACAUCAGGACGUAAUCCAAGUUCUGACAACAACUCACCGAGGAAGGUCACCUGCUGUGGAGACGGAAGGUUGUAUAGCGAAGCAGAGAAGAGAGGGAAUUAAAUGUUAUCGAGGCAUCUUGCAAGCCAGACCCCAAGAGGGACGCCACGAAAAUGCGGCUGGGCAAAGCUCCGCUGUGCCUCGACGCCUUUCUUUACUCACCUCCCCUCUCUCUUACAGAUUGCCUGGGACGCGAGAAGAGGACGAGGAGUAGACCAACCACGCCAUCGGAAGGACGAGGAGGAGGAUCCAAAUAGAGGACGAGCGAGGACGAGGACCGAUAUAGAGGACGAGCGAGGACAAGGGCCUACAUAGAGGACGAGCGAGGACGAGGACCCAGACCGAGGACGGGGACACCGGACGCAGCGGACACCGCCAGCCUGACGAGCGAGGACGAGGACCGAUAUAGAGGACGAGCGAGGACGAGGACCCACAAAAAGGAUGAGCGAGGACGAGUAUCCCAACCGAGGACGGGGACGCCGGACGCAACGGACACCGCCAUCCUUCAGUCUCCAGCCCCUAUAGCUGGACCCUGAGAACCAGUGAGCCCCUUCACCCACUCCUGUGUCAUCCCUCAUCCCCUGCGCCACCCCAGGGUCUUAUCCCUCUCUCCCCCAAGUGCCCCCACCGCUGCAGACUCCAGCAACUUCCCCGUAGAUUCCGACUCUAGCACAGUGUCCAUGAUUAUUAACAGUGCAGAAGAUUACACAUAGUGCCCAGGAUUAUUCAUGGUGUCUUUUACCAGGACUCAACCAGAAGACAGCUCAAAGUAAAAUCGUAAGAGUACAGCAACCAGCACUCCAUCCACCCAUAACCCACACCCAUCACCCCGAAUGCAAGCAAACAUAGACAAUGACGACGACACAUCAUAAACCCCCGAGACUCCCAUCACUGACUCUUAAAUAUAGAAUUACUGGAACACUUCCGGACGACAUCAGCUCCCAUGUAUUCAAAACGACACAAAUAUACCACACCAAAUGCUUUGAAAUCAAUGAAUCUACAGUGAUUGUUGGGCUUGCCAGCGAGGCAGACCUCACAAAUCACUCUUCCCCGGAAAUCUCUCAUAAACUCAAGGCACAGGGCCUCACCUAUGAAUCGCCUGUCAUGCUAGCUUCUUGCACCGUUCUCGCACGUAAACUAGACGCCUAGCUUAUUCAAAGACCACUUCCAGACAUCACCCAAGAAAUACAAGACAAAAACAACGUGAUAAUCGAAGACAUAAAAGUUAUUCCCAGGGUCCACCUCCUUAAGAUUCGCCUGGCGAGUAAGGAGGAAGCCAACAACCUUACAAGAGAAGGGAUACAACUCUUCUCGGUAAUAAUCCCACCAUAUAAUAUAAACACAGAAAGGCAUACUGAAUUCAACCAGUGCUUCAAGUACCUCCAGUACACACAUAAGACACAAGACUGCAAGAAAACAAGACACAUGCUCUAAGUGUGCGGAAGAAGGACAUAAUUACAAGCAAUGCACAUCAGCACACAUUAAAUGCAUCAACUGCGAAGUCAAACACGUUGCGGUUGCCUUCCAAUGCCCAGUAAAGAGGGAAUAAAUUAAAACACACAGCAACCAACAGCCACGAAACACGACUGAAACCACAUCUUCAUACGCCAGCGCUGCCGCCAACACCCCCACACCAUUAAUGCCCACACCACCACAGUCCAACACUGGCGAAUAACCUGCAGGACAUGCACACAAAAAUCAGUCUUGUAAACGUUAUGGCCUCAACACUUAGUGGUGGGGGACAUUCUAACAUACAAACACACUUUCUUCGAACUUUGUAAGGAAAACAGCUUUCCAAUCAUACGAAUCCUGGACACAGUCAUCCAAAACUGCACAGACACUUUCAAGAUGAACAGUCACAACUUGAAUAAAAUACAGGAUAUGGUGUACAAGACAAUGGCAGACAAAACAUGCACACACAAAAAACGAAAACCAAGCACAACACGUUCGACAUCGCGAGACGGACACCGCUCAAGACACGACUCCCACUCUUCCGCGCGCACCGAAGGGCUAUCAAACAGACCUGCACAAACACUAACACGCAACACUACCGCACUCCCAACCCCAACCUGACAGCAGAACAUCAAAGACACCAUUGCUUCCUCUGACUCUCCCCACCACAACUACCACAAUCACCAUCCUAAGGAAGAACCAACACCCAAUGAAAAUAAACAAAAUACUCAAGCCACACACUCAUCAUCUAACUCAGACGGCGAAGCCAUCCCUCACGCACUGUCCAACGAGGAACGAUACAACAUGAGAAACAACACACACAAACACAAAUCACAAAAAUGCUGAAAUUAAUACAAUUAAACUGUCGCGGUUACCAUAACAACCGCCAUUUCAUAGCGAACACCAUCGUCGAAGAAAAUCCCGACGUAAUUCUCCUCAACGACAUCGGCAACCUUCCACAUCGACGCAGAGUCAAACAUUAUGGGUACACUACACACUAUACACAGGGUGUCCACGACGGCGUAGCCGUUAUGGUCAGAACAAAUAUAAAACACGAGUUCCUAAAGACAUGGGCCACACCCCACUUUUUGGCCCCAAAAAUACACACAAACAACAACUCAAUCAUAAUAGCUACAACCUGCACACACCCUAAUACGCACAUACCCUUCGCCGACAUUAACAAACUUUUUAAUUACAACACAUCGACGUGCAUAAUCGCAGACAUGAACGCCAGACAUACAAUCUUCGGCCACUCCACUAACAACACACAUGGCAAAUAACUGCACUAGAUAAUGACCCAGAAACGGCUAAGAUUUCUGGGUCCACACUUUGACACAACUUACACACACAACGGUACAAGAAGACCGGAUGUAGCUAUCACAGACAGACAUGCCAGCCACCUUCACCAUCACUUAGCCCCAGGUAAACUGUGUGGCUCAGACCACAUUCCUCUAUUAGUUUACAUUUCAGCCAAUCCCAUAGCUAUCCCAUCCACGCCACACUACAGCUACAAACAAGCAAACUGGGAAUCCUUCCAAGAAACACUCCAAAACACUUACCACCCACAUUAAACAACCAGCACACCUCAACACUCGACACUCAUAUUGAAAACUUACACACACAGAUACUGCAGGCUGCAAACGCACAUAUACCGAAAACGAGCCAUAAAAUCUACUAUGACUUCAUCCCCUCAUUGAAAACAAAAAGACUAGUCACCUGCUACCACAAUAUCUUCGAAAGAAACAAACACGCACCUCACGGUAGGCAUGACCCUGGAAAUUUUGAGAGGUCAUAUAAUUAAUAGUUUUAACGCAGAUUAUGACAACCAUUGGCUCAAUCUAAUCAAAAUAACAUCGGACAAAAGCAAAACAAGUCCUACAGAAUUCUGGAGAAAAAUUGGACAACUCAGAGGCACUGAGAAGCCAAGCUUUGAGUACUUCAACAAUAAACAACACCAGAAUCACUAACCCCAUUGACGUAACUGUCGCAUUUAAAGACCAUUGGUCGGUGUUUUUCAGCCCACACACCGCCCCCUCUCCCAGCAGCUGCAGAACACAUCAGUGCCGUCACAGCACACAUGAAUGACACACACACCAAGAAACAUUACCAGAACAUACCAUCAGACUACACACACAACACAAUAAUUCACUCACAACACCAAGUGAAGAGAAUGAAGUGAAGAGGCUGCUGAGAAGCACACCUCGACGAGCGCCCGUUCAACUGGCAUCUCCUGGCCCUGGGCCAUGACUCGCCACUUGCCCCCGAACAUUAUAUCCUCCCUCACGUCAGUUUACAAUGCCUGCCUGGCAACAGGCUACUUCCCCAGGCCAUACAAAACAGCAAAGACAAUUUUGAUCCCCAAACCAGGAAAAAACACCACCUACCUGAAAACUACAAACCAAUAAGCCUACUAGAGAUCCUGGGGAAUGUUUUUGAGAAAAUAAUUAAUACCAGACUCCGCUCUCACUUGGAACAACACAACUUCUUGUCUAAUAAGCAAUUCGGCUUUAGACAACUACGUUCAACCGAGGACGCACUGAACAUCAUCAUAACAUACAUUAAAAACAGCUACCCCGACUACAAAUGCGCAUUAGUAACGAAAGAUGUAAAACAAGCUUUUGACACCGUUUGGCAUACAGGCCUGAAGUACAAAAUUUGUAAUAAUUUUAAUCUGCCCCCUAUCACCCAAAAACUGCUUUGCAGCUUCCUCUCAAAUAGGAAGAUGCAAAUAAAGCAGACAAACAUACUAAUAAUACUUCACGCCUUUAGCAGGUGUCCCACAGGGAUCAUCAAUCUCCCCCACACUGUAUAACAUGUACACACACGACCUCCCUAACCCCACACACUCAGGAUCCCUCACCAUACAGUACGCAGACGACGUGACCCAUCUUGCUCGUGCUCGUAUAUUGGACGCCCUCACAAACCUGCUCCAGGCCGAACUGUCAGCCACCAGCCAGUAGGAACUGAAAUGGCUCAUUCACUCACGCCCGCUUAAAACUAGUCACAUACUUUGCCAAGAAACGGGAAAUACCAAGACAUAUCUACCUUUAUCCCUUCCUUCCCAACCAAGCCCCCAUACAAAAUUCCCUAACAAACACAGUCUUCGGUUUAAAUAUAGACAAAGACAUCUGUUUUCACCAACACAUAAAACAAAAAGCAGCCAUGGCUUCAAGGAUGCUCGGUAAUCUCUAUCGGUUCCGCGACAGAGACACAAAAACAAAACUCCACUUAUAUAAGGCUCUAGUCCAGCCACACUUAACGUAUUGCCCAUUAGCACUCUCAUUAAUUGCAAAAACAAACUUCAAAAAAAAUUACAGGUAAUCCAAAAUAAGGCAUUAAGCCUUGCAAUGGAUAUAAAGUGGUACGAUUUCAGAACUUCAAAAUCGAUACACGAGGAUACAGAUGUACUUCCAAUUAACUUAGUAUUAUUUAACAGAGUAUACAAACAAAUAGAACAAUACAGAAUAAUACAUGAUGACACAUACACGUUCAUUGACUCCCGUCCCCGCCGCCUAAGAAACAUCCUCGAUCUUGUAAAUCACACCCCCCCAGACCCUCUUUACACGUACCACAUUCAGAGUAACUAACAUAACACCUCUGGACUAGACGCUGACACACGGGGGGUUAGAGGCAGGGGAGGUUUCACUCACCCACACAUCCUCAGGUUGUUGCACUCGUAGGAUUCUACCCAGUGUAACUAACACCUUACAACACAGAACACACCUGCAGCUAAGACGCGGGGACCGAAUCCCGCCGGGGGCGUUAGGUCUGAUAGCAAGGCAGCCCUUAGUUCAACCUGACUUAUCUCA